rnacentral:rRNA from 1 species
GACGAACGCUGGCGGCGCGCUUAACACAUGCAAGUCGAACGGAAAGGCCUGCUUUCCCUUGUGGAUUGCGGGUACUCGAGUGGCGAACGGGUGAGUAACACGUGAGUGAUCUGCCCCCAACUUGGGUAUAAGCCUGGGAAACUGGGUCUAAUUCCCGAUAGGACUGCAGGGUGGUGCCUGUGGUGGAAAACGAUUUUCUAGUGGUUGGGGAUGAGCUCGCGGCCUAUCAGCUUGUUGGUGGGGUAAUGGCCUACCAAGGCGGCGACGGGUAGCCGGCCUGGGAGGGUGGACGGCCACAUUGGGACUGAGAUACGGCCCCGACUCCUACGGGAGGCAGCAGUGGGGAAUAUUGCACAGUGGGCGGAAGCCUGAUGCAGCGACGCCGCGUGGGGGAUGACGGCCUUCGGGUUGUAAACUCCUUUCGACCGCGAGGAAGCCACCUGGUUGGAAGGGUGGUGACGGUAGUGGUAGAAGAAGCACCGGCUAACUACGUG